rnacentral:rRNA from 1 species
GAUGAACGCUGGCGGCGUGCUUAACACAUGCAAGUCGAACGAUGAAGCCCAGCUUGCUGGGUGGAUUAGUGGCGAACGGGUGUGUAACACGUGAGUAACCUGCCCUUAACCCUGGGAUAAGCCUGGGAAACUGGGUCUAAUACCGGAUAGGAGCGUCCACCGCAUUGAGGGUGUUGGAAAGAUUUAUCGGUUUUGGAUGGACUCGCGGCCUAUCAGCUUGUUGGUGAGGUAAUGGCUCACCAAGGCGACGCCGGGUAGCCGGCCUGAGAGGGUGACCGGCCACACUGGGACUGAGACACGGCCCAGACUCCUACGGGAGGCAGCAGUGGGGAAUAUUGCACAAUGGGCGAAAGCCUGAUGCAGCGACGCCGCGUGAGGGAUGACGGCCUUCGGGUUGUAAACCUCUUUCAGUAGGGAAGAAGCGAAAGUGACGGUACCUGAAGAAGAAGCACCGGCUAACUACGUG